rnacentral:rRNA from 1 species
ACACUGUUCAUGGGUUACCGCGGCUGCUGGCACGGAGUUAGCCGGUGCUUCUUCUGUGAGUGAUGUCCUUCCUGCCGGUUAUUGACCCGCAGGCCUUCUUCCUCACUGAAAGUGCUUUACAACCCGAAGCUUCUUCACACACGCGGCAUGGCUGGAUCAGGGUUGCCCCCAUUGUCCAAUAUUCCCCACUGCUGCCUCCCGUAGGAGUCUGGGCCGUGUCUCAGUCCCAGUGUGGCUGAUCAUCCUCUCAGACCAGCUACGGAUCGUCGCCUUGGUGAGCCGUUACCUC